rnacentral:rRNA from 1 species
CAUAGCGACUAUCGUGGCAUAUCAAUAAGCGGAGGAAAAGAAACUAACAAGGAUUCCCUUAGUAACGGCGAGUGAAGCGGGAAGAGCUCAAAUUUGAAAUCUUCAAGGUUCUACCUUGACGAAUUGUAGUUUAUAGAAGUGUUUUCUGUUAGUAGAGUGGCAAAAGUUCUUUGGAAUAGGACAUCAUAGAGGGUGAGAAUCCCGUAUUUGGUCAUUCUUUCUAGCUUUGUGAUACACUUUCAACGAGUCGGAUUGUUUGGGAAUGCAGUCCAAAAUGGGUGGUAAAUUUCAUCUAAAGCUAAAUAUUGGCGAGAGACCGAUAGCGAACAAGUACCGUGAGGGAAAGAUGAAAAGAACUUUGAAAAGAGAGUUAAACAGUACGUGAAAUUGUCAAAAGGGAAGCGUUUGACACCAGUGUUGUUUAGUUGAAAAUCAAUUCAAUAAUUUUUGAUUUUAAGUAGUAUUGACUUCAUCAGCUUGCUGCUUUCUUUUCCGGAAUUAUUGAAUGCACUUUUCAGUUAACAAGUCAACAUCAAUUUCUUUUGUUGUAAAAGGGUAAGAGGAAGGUGGCUUACGCUUCGGCGUAAGUGUUUAUAGCCUUUUACCUCUGCAAUCGGAGAGAUUGAGGACAGCAGCGUAGACUCCUUCGGGGGUUAGAUACACUUGUGCUAAGCUAUAGCCUUGUAUAGACAACUUGUUGACUAUGCUCAGUCAUGUAGCUUACUCGCUUGUGCUAUUUUACCUACGCUUAGGAUGUUGAAGAUAUGCGCGACACG